GCGGGCGUAGUCUAGGGGUUAUGAUGUCUGCUUUACAUGUAACAUAUGUGGAGCGCAGAAGGUCGAGGGUUCAAUUCCCUCCGCCCGUA